rnacentral:rRNA from 1 species
GAUGAACGCUGGCGGCGUGCCUAAUACAUGCAAGUCGAGCGAACGGACUAGACGCUUGCUUCUCUUAUGUUAGCGGCGGACGGCUGAUUAACACUUUGCUAACCUCCCUAUAAUACUUGGAUAACUUCGGGAAACCGGAGCUAAUACCGGCUGAUAUUUUGAACCGCAUGGUUCAAAAGUUUAAGACGGUCUUGCUGUCACUUAUAGAUGGAUCCGCGCUGCAUUAGCUAGUUGGUAAGGUAACGGCUUACCAAGGCAACGAUGCAUAGCCGACCUGAGAGGGUGGUCGGCCACACGGGAACUGAGACACGGUCCAGAGUACUGAGGGAGGCAGCAGUAGGGAACCUUACGCAAUGGGCGAAAGCCUGACGGAGCAACGCGGAGCGAGUGAUGAAGGUCUUCGGAUCGUAAAACUCUGUUAUUAGGGAAGAACAUAUGUGUAAGUAGCUGUGCACAUAUUGACGGUACCUAAACAGAAAGCCACGGCUAACUACGUG